rnacentral:rRNA from 1 species
UACUAAAGUUGUUGCGGUUAAAAAGCUCGUAGUUGAAAUUGUGUCCUGCGGCGUCGGUCUACCGAAUGCGGUACGACAGGCGCGUCUGCGGGGCUUCUCGCCGGUGCGUUUCCGCCGGUGCGCGUUCGUCGAUCCUCGCGGAUCGCGACGCGUCGGGCGGGUCCUCGCGGCUGUUUACUUUGAACAAAUUAGAGUGCUCAAAGCGGGCUAAUAUUUGCCUGAAUAUUGUGCGCAUGGAAUAAUAGAAUAGGACCUCGGUUCUGUUUUGUUGGCUUUCUGAUACCAGAGGUAAUGAUUAAUAGGGACAACUGGGGGCAUUCGUAUUGCGACGUUAGAGGUGAAAUUCUUGGAUCGUCGCAAGACGGACUAAAGCGAAAGCAUUUGCCAAAGGUGUUUUCAUUAAUCAAGAACGAAAGUUAGAGGUUCGAAGGCGAUUAGAUACCGCUGUAGUUCUAACCAUAAAUGAUGCCAGCCAGCGAUCCGCCGAAGUUUUUUAUGUUGAUUCGGUGGGCAGCUCCCGGGAAACCAAAGCUUUC